UUGAAAACACCUUGUAAUAUUUAAAAGCCUGCAGCUACCAUUGUUAUGAAUUCAUUAUUGGAGUAAACAAACCCAUCUUUCAAAACUUUGUUAACCUUUCUUACAUUUUUUUUCUUCCCUUCAAUCACUAAGUUUGAGGCUAAGAGCCUGAAAUAAUUCAGAUAGGUAACACACAGUUAAGUACAUUUCACCAAAUUCUUUCUUUUGAAAUCCAACAGUUCUGGACUCCACUUGACUUCUUCGCACUGUUAUGCAUACUUCGGAAAAUGCUGAUGAACUAGAAGCAUGGCUAUACUGGCAAACCAGCGCAAAGGGAGUUAACAGUGGUCUGCCCUGUCGCUGGUCAUCAGUGUGUUCAAGAAGACGGAGCGUCUCGACCUGGUGCAGGUUCUGAUAACUAUGGAAACACCAAGAACAGGUGAGGAUGGAGUGCCUGACUCAAAUUGGGACAUUGACAUCCCUUCUUAUUAGUCUCCGGGAUCACUGAAGAAGAGAGGGUGGACAGAAUGUAAGGGCCAGAGGAGCAGGAGGUGUGGUGCAAAGAAACAUCUGAACAUGAUGUGGUGGUUGUACCCAUGAGGUCACUACAUAAGAUCAACGUGAAAUGAGGCAUGUCAACCUCUCAUCAGGGAUAGGAGAGUGAGUCAUCAGCUCUUCCUUGACCACACUGGCAUUGUUGCUGUCCUUGUUCAACUAACAUUAUGCUGAUGUUGGUGAGGCUUUACGGGAAAGGUCAUGAAUUUGAAAGAAAGUAAGGACAGGUAAGUGAGAGGAUUUAGAGAGAGGAAAGGGGAAGUGGAAACAAUGUCAUAAUCUCAAUAAAUAAAAGUAUAAAAAUGGGUAUUAACUCCCAGACCAGGUUAUUUAGAGUCAAAUUUCAAGUUUGCUAAAGAUUUUCUUACAUUAUUCUUAUUAUCACUUUAUUUCUUAGAGCUUUCAUCUGUAAAAUAGCGAUAAAUUUUAUAUCUAAAGAAUUCAAUAAAGAAGAAGGGUAACUUCUUGGGAAGAAGAAUUUAGCUGAAGAGAGGGAGGAAUGAAAGAGAACAGUAGAGGUAACAUAUGAC